UACGUAGGGUGCGAGCGUUAAUCGGAAUUACUGGGCGUAAAGCGUGCGCAGGCGGUUUUGUAAGUCUGUCGUGAAAUCCCCGGGCUCAACCUGGGAAUUGCGAUGGAGACUGCAAGGCUAGAAUCUGGCAGAGGGGGGUAGAAUUCCACGUGUAGCAGUGAAAUGCGUAGAGAUGUGGAGGAACACCGAUGGCGAAGGCAGCCCCCUGGGUCAAGAUUGACGCUCAUGCACGAAAGCAUGGGGAGCAAACAGGG
rnacentral:rRNA from 1 species